rnacentral:lncRNA from 1 species
CUGUCCAAGGCAUUAGUUCCUAUCCUCUAUAGUAUGAUAUGCAACGUUCUCCAAAUCAGUAUUGAGGAUUGUACCGGCUGGCUACAAUUUGAUAUGGUAUGACCAAUACAUACCAUAUCAAGCCAAGGUGUACCUAUGAUAAAGAAUCAGGAGAAGAGAAGGGGAUGAAGGAAGACCCUAACCUUGAUCUUAGAAGGAGAACCAGGGGGAGAG